rnacentral:misc_RNA from 1 species
CUCAACCAUUAGGGUUUCUUAAUGGCUUGGAUUUGGGUGUUGCCAGUCUCUGGCUCGCCUUAAAGGAGUUAGCGAGUUUAACAAUGUCGUCUGGCGUAAUAAGUUUCGCUGGUAAGACUUGUGAAGUUUGCUUCUAAUCGUCUUCGGACAAUUACUUUGACUCUGGCCUCAAAUCAGGUAGGACUACCCGCUGAACUUAA